CUGUAAGAAAUUUUGUUUCUUGAUAUUGUUUCAGUUUCGUAUCAAAAGAAUCCCAAGUUUAAAAUUUGUCAUCCAAAACAAAAUUGGUAAUAGGAAUCUCUUCAUCCAUUGUUCAAAGUAUAAUGACAGUAAUAAGAGUAGAUGUGCAGUUCAAUACUUAAAAAAGUGAACACUUUUCUCAGCCCGAGUUCUCAACAACAAACCAUUUUUCGCCUUUUGCACUACUAAUUUUAAGUUGUACCUUUAAGAACAUCAAAACCAUUAAUACGGAAAACUAUUUAAACGCCAUUUGCUGAAUAAUAAUAUUUAUUAUUUAUCAUUAUUAGAAGUAUAAUUGUUUAGUACAUAUGAAAGAAUUAAG
rnacentral:lncRNA from 1 species